AAACACCCAGGCUCUGCUCUGAUUGUAACUGGCUACCACUUACUGAGCAUGCCUCCAUUGGCUUGGCUAUGGCUGUGCAGACACUGUCUCUCCCGUGUAUGCGGGUUAAUCCCCUCAACGCAAGAUACUAGGUUAGUCAUGGCUGGCUCAUCACACUGGCUCACUAUGAAGUGGAGUCUACUAGAGUCCCCAGAGUAUGCUUGAACUUCUGACUCAUAGCCCAGACUACAGCUUCUCUUUGCCAUGCAAGCAGCUUCCUCUUUAAAGCCCAUUUUCUGAGCCACGAAGGACCAGAAGACACCUUCAGCAGUAGACAGGGCUCACUUACCCUGUGCAGAUGUU
rnacentral:lncRNA from 1 species